rnacentral:ncRNA from 1 species
UAAAAAUUUAUGAUUUUUAAGGUUUAUUUAUAAUUUGUUUUACAUGCAAAUUUUAGUAUGAAUUUUUAAUUAUUUUAAUAAUAAUUAAAAUUUAUUGUAGUAAAUAAUAUUAAAAAUUUAAGAAAUUAAGAUUUAGUUAUAUUAAAGUUAAUAACAAAUUUUGUGCCAGCAGUUGCGGUUAUACGAAAAUUGAGAUAAAUUUUUUCAGUAUAUAAUUAAUAAUUUUUUCUUAAAAUUAAAUAUUGAAUUAUUAAGUGAAAUUUUAAUUUAAUUAAAAUUUAUUUUUAAAUUAUGAUUUAAUAAAUUUAUUUAUAGACUAGGAUUAGAUACCCUAUUAUUAAAAAUUUAAAUUAUAAUACUAAAAUAGUAAAUAUAUUUAAUUAUUGAAACUUAAGUAAUUUGGCGGUAUUUUAGUUCAUUUAGAGGAAUCUGUUUAAUAAUUGAUAAUCCACGAAUAAAUUUACUUAAUUUUUUUUAUUUUGUAUAUCGUUGUUAAAAAAAUAUUUUUAAAUGAAAAUAAUAUUUAAAAAUUAUUAAUUUAAAUUAAUUCAGAUCAAGAUGCAGAUUAUAAUUAAGAAUAUAAUGGAUUACAAUAAAUUUAUUUAGAUGAAUAUUAUUUUGUAAAAGUAUUUGAAGGUGGAUUUAAAUGUAAUUUUAUUUAAUUUAUUAAAAUGAUUAAAAAUUAAAAUAUGUACAUAUUGCCCGUCGCUUUCAUUUAAAAAUUGGAAUAAGUCGUAACAAAGUAGAAGUACUGGAAAGUGUUUCUAGAAAGA